CAGAGUAGAAGUCACGCGUAAAGUGCCAAUGGACGGGAAGUUGCUGUUGGACGAAGAGUUGACGUCAUAGAUCCUAUGACAAAAGAUUCGCGGUGUGCCUUCGCAUCCGCUGU
rnacentral:ncRNA from 1 species